rnacentral:tRNA from 1 species
UGCGGAUAUGGCGGAAUGGCAGACGCACAAGACUCAAAAUCUUGCGGAGGUGACUUCGUGUGGGUUCAAGUCCCACUAUCCGCAU